rnacentral:rRNA from 1 species
UCGGGAAUUUUGGGCAAUGGGCGAAAGCCUGACCCAGCAACGCCGCGUGAAGGAUGAAGUAUUUCGGUAUGUAAACUUCGAAAGAAUAGGAAGAAUAAAUGACGGUACUAUUUAUAAGGUCCGGCUAACUACGUGCCAGCAGCCGCGGUAAUACGUAGGGACCAAGCGUUGUUCGGAUUUACUGGGCGUAAAGGGCGCGUAGGCGGCAAUUCAAGUCAUCUGUGAAAUCUCCGGGCUUAACUCGGAACGGUCAGAUGAUACUGCUUUGCUAGAGUGCAGAAGGGGCAAUCGGAAUUCUUGGUGUAGCGGUGAAAUCCGUUGAUAUCGUGGGGAACACCAAAGGCGAAGGCAGCGCACUGGCCAAAAUCUGACGCUCACACACGAAAGCUAGGGUAGCGAAGAGGAUUAGAUACCCCCGUAGUCCCUGAGCGGGCUGGCAAGGCGCAU